rnacentral:lncRNA from 1 species
CCGAGGCAGGUAAAGGCCCCAGAGCAGGUAGAGGAGGGCCAUAUUCCGUCACCUUUGCUUCCAGUGUGGACUAGGAUGAGCUGGGUGACCCAAACUUUAACCUGUUCCAAGGAUGCAGAGAGACCCGGCUCCCCACGAAGACCCUCAAACAGGCUGGCAGAGCCUGAGGCUGGACGGCUCAGAGCAUGGGCCUUUGACAACCAAACUCACCUUGGUGGAGCAAGGUGCUUUCCGCCUCCGUUGGAUGACACCCCUCCACUGUAGGCCAGGGCAGGGACCGCCAGGAGCAGCAGGCAAGCCGGGAUUCUCUGGGUGUGCGGGCUUCUGCUAGCAGUGCUGUCCGGGGCUCAUCCCCUCCUCCAUGUGGCCAGAGCUGCCUUGGAUGUGAAUGAGCGCUUCUGACCCAACUGAGCUUCCGGGUAACGGGCCGGAUGGAUGGACUCUGGAGUAGUUUGGGGCGUCCCUGGUUAAGGAAUCAGCCUGGAGGAAAACAGUCCUUAUACCUCAAGUUCCACCUUCUCCUUUAAGGAAGGUCCACUAAGACCCGGGCCCGGGGGACCAGCCUGCACGCGUGCCUGAGGCCAAGCUCGCAGAGCCUGGUUUUCCACGAGCUCCGGAUGUUCUCCGACCUGGCUGGCUCCUCUGUGUCCUCCUUGGCGUGGGGAUCCGCUGCUGCCUGUGGGGCGCAUCAUGGACAUGCUGUCGCCGCACAACAGAGAUGAGUGUUGAGAACUGCAAAGUGAGAAAGGAAGGCCAGAGACACCUGCCACGGAAGACCAUGCAAGAGAGAAACCAAAGCCGGUAAAAGAGGAGCUUUCCCAGGUCCCAGAUCAGGCCCAAGCAGAGGGCCUUCAGAUAAGUGUGAGGAAUGAGUUAGUGCAUCCACUCCCCGGAGAAAACCAUGGCGGAAGACAGCAAUGACCGGAAUCUGUGAUGACCUCAUUCUCCAAGAUGGAGAUAUGACAUGGAAGUCCGGAAACUGGGAAAGCCGAACUGAAAUCAAUUCCAUGCUAUUAUCUCUGCGUUUAGAAGGGUAUCUCAGCUCUUCUGCAAGCUCACAGGUGAAUUCCUCUGUCGUAGCCUGCAGAGUUUUUGGAGGAACAGGCUGUGGUAGUUUUCUGAUUAAGAACAGCAGCAAGCAAUCACCUCCAAGAACUAAGGAAGAUAAAGAGGAACCAAAGGAUGGAGGGGAGGUCAAUCACUCACUUUGUGUCUGCACAUUUAUUGUUAUGCCAUAUCUACCUUUUAUUUUGAGCAUUUGUUUCCUAUUAUAAUCCAAGGGAAAAUAAAUCAUAGGAGGCAAGGCAUCUUUCUUGUAAAACUUCACAAUCAGACCAGUCCUUUGUGGUCUGACCUA